CUGCACGAAUGGCGUAAUGAUGGCCAGGCUGUCUCCACCCGAGACUCAGUGAAAUUGAACUCGCUGUGAAGAUGCAGUGUACCCGCGGCAAGACGGAAAGACCCCGUGAACCUUUACUAUAGCUUGACACUGAACAUUGAGCCUUGAUGUGUAGGAUAGGUGGGAGGCUUUGAAGUGUGGACGCCAGUCUGCAUGGAGCCGACCUUGAAAUACCACCCUUUAAUGUUUGAUGUUCUAACGUGGACCCGUUACCCGGGUUGCGGACAGUGUCUGGUGGGUAGUUUGACUGGGGCGGUCUCCUCCUAAAGAGUAACGGAGGAGCACGAAGGUUGGCUAAUCCUGGUCGGACAUCAGGAGGUUAGUGCAAUGGCAUAAGCCAGCUUGACUGCGAGCGUGACGGCGCGAGCAGGUGCGAAAGCAGGUCAUAGUGAUCCGGUGGUUCUGAAUGGAAGGGCCAUCGCUCAACGGAUAAAAGGUACUCCGGGGAUAACAGGCUGAUAC
rnacentral:rRNA from 1 species